rnacentral:rRNA from 1 species
AUUGAACGCUGGCGGCAGGCCUAACACAUGCAAGUCGAACGAGUGGCGGACGGGUGAGUAAUGUCUGGGACACUGCCUGAUGGAGGGGGAUCACUACUGGACACGGUAGCUAAUACCGCAUACUAUCAGAUGUGCCCAGAUGGGAGUAGCUAGUUGGUGGGGUAACGGCACCCCAAGGCGACGAUCCCUAGCUGGUCUGAGAGGAUGACCAGCCACACUGGAACUGAGACACGGUCCAGACUCCUACGGGAGGCAGCAGUGGGGAAUAUUGCACAAUGGGCGCAAGCCUGAUGGAGCAAUGCCGCGUGUGUGAAGAAGGCUUUCGGGUUGUAAAGCACUGUCAGCGGGGAGGCGGUAUCUGAAGAAGAAGCAACGGCUAACUACGUGCCAGCAGCCGCGGUAAUAC